GAUUUUGGACAUGGGGGGAAACCCUGACCAGGCCACCCCGCUGGUGCGAGGAAGCCCUCCGGGUUGUAAAGAACUUUUGGCAGGGAAGAAAAGCCUCUGCCUAUUACCUGAACUGGUUGAAGUUACCUGCAGAAUAAGCACGGCUAAACACCUUCCCACCAGCCGCGGUAAUACGUAGGGUGCAAGCGUUAAUCGGAAUUACUGGGCGUAAAGCGUGCGCAGGCGGUUCGGCAAGAAGGAUGUGAAAUCCCAGGGCUUAACCUUGGAACUGCAUUCUUAACUGCCGGGCUAGAGUAUGUCAGAGGGGGGUAGAAUUCCGCGUGUAGCAGUGAAAUGCGUAGAGAUGCGGAGGAAUACCGAUGGCGAAGGCAGCCCCCUGGGAUAAUACUGACGCUCAUGCACGAAAGCGUGGGGAGCAAAC
rnacentral:rRNA from 1 species